AAGGCCGUGCUCGGUGUCCGCCGAAUACCUUGUACCCCUACUUCUUCGUGCGCCUUUGCCUCGUCGGCCCUCUCCGUUGAGCGGUCAUUGGCAGCAAUCGGGAGAGACGGAAGCAGCUUUAUGAGGAACAAAAGGCGGCACGCUAGGCCGGAGCCCAACGGCGGACCCGGAGUGGAAUCAAUGGAAAGGGAUACUCGAGUGAGGAGACGGCAAGUGACGGUGAGAAGGAGGAGGAGAUGAGAGCGACGAUGGAUCCCCCGGCGGCGCUAGGGCCGGAUAUAAUGAUGAAAAUACUCGAGUCCUCUGACGCAUGCAGCGUGGCACGGCGCACUCUGGUAUCUCUCAGAUGGCACGAGAUCGCCGCCAGCGACUUUCUCUGGGCCCAAAAGGUUUGGUUUUUAUUUACGCCAAAGCGGACUCCUUUCUCUUGUCUUCCGACGUGAACUCAGUUCUUGAACCCUUCGUUAAGGUAACUCGGGGGGGAUUCGAAGUAUUGCAAUAUGAUUCCGUGAGAAAUUCCGUCUCUUUGGUCCACUAACUGAAGGGGAUUCAGGAGAUUAUUGCCUGGCUCUGCAUACGUUCUAAUUCAUAGACUUGGCUUCCUUUUCUUCUCAUGCAAUUCUCUUUUUUUAUUUUUUUGAGCUGUAACUUCUUCUUUGAAGUGACACUCUCUUGUGUGUUAUCGUCAGGUUUCUUUUCAAUAAAAUUACUACUGUUUGAUGGUAUUUGGUCCUGUGUCAGUAUGAGGAAUUGUUUAAAGGGAAGGCACAUAGCGUCAAGACUAGCAGCCCAUUCGAUGUCCAUCAUGGAUGCAAAAAGAACUGCUCCAGAAUAUUGGCAGAACCUUGAUCCUUCAUCGAUGGGUACUGGCCCUCCAAUCCACAGCUACUUCCAGCCAAAUGGUUCUCAGGAAGCAGAUCCUGAUGAUAAAGGAUGGGGAGGUCAUGAAUGCACAUAAUCAUCACCAGCUAUAUAGGCGAGGCACGAAUCUGGGAUCACCAUGUGAGGAUCAACAGGUGGCCUCCAAUGACCAUGUCGAGGAAAGAGGAUUGGAGUUGGGAGAUGUCUAACGACCUCUAUUGCUACAACAAUGUUCCUGAUGCUGAGAAAGAGGGUGGUGUAUCGGUCUAGUAAAUUAAGAACCACUACUGAAGCUAUUGAUACCGUCAAACCAGCAAUUUUCUAAAGAGGUUCUCUGGUAUUUUAAUGCUUCCGAUCAAUCUAUCGGAUGGCGGCCUUUGCAUUGGUGUUACAUAUAUAUGUUGUGUUGAAUCACCUUAUUGUCUCGAAAGGCUUAUCUCCACUAUCUGGCUCGAAAACUCUUUUAUCUUCAUGAAUAUGGCCAAUGGCAAGCAGACUUUCUGCAAUGCUCUAAUGUCUUGUGCCGUUUCAAAGUAGGUGAAUUUUGUUGAGUUAUUAUCUGUCAGUGCUGAGGUUCAUGUUCAAUAUAUUUGCUACAAUGGAACAACUUUUUUUGCAAUAAAAGAUUAUAUCGUCUUUAGCUGGUA